rnacentral:rRNA from 1 species
AACGAACGCUGGCGGCAUGCCUAACACAUGCAAGUCGAACGAGACCUUCGGGUCUAGUGGCGCACGGGUGCGUAACGCGUGGGAAUCUGCCCUUAGGUUCGGAAUAACUUCGGGAAACUGAAGCUAAUACCGGAUGAUGACGUAAGUCCAAAGAUUUAUCGCCUAAGGAUGAGCCCGCGUAGGAUUAGCUAGUUGGUGAGGUAAAGGCUCACCAAGGCGACGAUCCUUAGCUGGUCUGAGAGGAUGAUCAGCCACACUGGGACUGAGACACGGCCCAGACUCCUACGGGAGGCAGCAGUGGGGAAUAUUGGACAAUGGGCGAAAGCCUGAUCCAGCAAUGCCGCGUGAGUGAUGAAGGCCUUAGGGUUGUAAAGCUCUUUUACCCGAGAUGAUAAUGACAGUAUCGGGAGAAUAAGCUCCGGCUAACUCCGUGCCAGCAGCCGCGGUAAU